GAGAUUUCUUUUCUUUUCUUUAUUUACAUGUAUAUCUGAACAUUGAUUACAAUUCAGAUACUGGGUUUGUGAGUUGAAAUUAAUCAAAUGAGAGUGGUAAAAAUUCACCUUUAUAUCGUAUAAUUUAUCCAGGUACGUUAUUCUGGUUUGUGGAAUGCUAAUUGAUACUAAGUUAGAAUAAUCUAAGCUGUAUACCAAAGUAGGUCUUCAUGGGGCUUUACGGCUCUAUGCAUCACAAAUAGAGAUCGGGUUCAAUGCGUCAGGUGUGGGAUUCACUCAAUAUUAUAUGCUGAGCGGGAAAGUUGAUAUCAACAGACGCCAUGAUGUUAUACCGGUAAACAUCUUGAACAUGAAUCGAGAACAGGAGUUGAUGCAGAUAUUCUGAGGAGAAUCUUCCAAUCAUUGAAAUAUAUUUCAUGAUAGUCGUGAAGAUACAGAAGUUGUGAUGGUGUGUUGAUAGGCUGUCUUCAACAUGCAGGCCUGGAUUAAUGUGUAUAAAUCACUAAUGAAGUUACUUAGUGUUAUUUAGUUUUAAAAAAAGAAUGACAUUUCAAUUUAUACACACUUGCCAAGUGAAUCUGAUGAGACUGCUACAUGUAUUUGUGAGUAAAGGCACUCUGUCUUAACCGAAAAACUAUUUACAGUUUAUCACAACAAAUGGAUGGGACAGUAGAGUUGUUGCGGACAAUAUGUGACCAAGUACUGAACAAGUGGAAGAUUAGAAGAAGGUCCAGAAUUCAAUCAUGUUUUUGAUUCUAAGGCGCAGACAGCAUGGAGAUAGUCCUAUUAUUCUCCCAUUCAUCUAUGAUGGAGAAACUUGUGUAAAUGUUUACAGUGUUCUCCCUAAUAAGUGCCCACAAGUCUGUAUUAAUUUAUCAGAAUAUAAAGUCCUUCACAGUACUGACUUUAAAAUUCAUGUAGAUUGUCUCCAGAUUUUUCUGAGGAAAAGUGCAUAGUUUACAUGUGUGAAUUUUGAAUAUAUUUCAUUCUUGUCUGCAAAUGUUGCUGAAACCUGUUAUUGAUGCACAAUGCACAUAGUCAUGUUAUGAAAUGAUAGACCUCCUUUUUAAUUACAUGUCCUUAAGAUCAUGUCAACUCCUUUGUCUUAAUUGUAUAUACAAUUCUAGCAUGUAUAGCAUCAUUUGUAUAGCACUUGCUAGUUUAAUAAGGAUUUUAUUUUUUAAAAACUUUCAUUUGACAUGAUUGAUCUAAAACGGCCAAAAUUCACAAAUCUAUUUAAAUCACAACCUGACCUUAGGCCAGAAAAGUGCCACAGUGGGUUGAUAUUUUUCUCUUGGAUCUUGAAAGAAAUUCUUUAUGCAGCAGUUUCCAAAUAAAAUGUACUCUCAUGGCCAGGGUGGGACUUCACCGAGAACUUUUUAACAUUGCACAAUGCAAUAUUUGUGGAUUAAAAGCUGUUGCAGUUUCUUUAAGUUUUCUCUCACAUCUUGUUAUAAUUAUAUUUUAUAUUUUUGGUAGGGUUGCACAAUGUGCAAACAGUUUAUAAAAUGCUGAAUGACUGGUGGGCAAGUGACAAUAGCGUCCCUGUAAUAGUACCUACUUUGUGUAAUCAACUCCUUUCACACCUCUCACUUGAUGUUCCUCAAACUUUGUACAGUUGUUAGGGAUACAUUGAAGAUGUGCGUGUACCUUUUUGAAAGUGAUCAGACAUUUUUUGAAAAAUUUACAUGUAGUUAAACUUCGUCAUUUUUUAAGCAUUUCUUUAAUCGACAGUAUCUAUUUUGUGUAAUCAACUCCUCGUAUACCUCUAAUUUGACAUUCCUCAAACUGUGUACAGUUGUUAUGAAUACAUUGAAGAUGUGCAUAUGUGUUUUUGAAAGUGAUCAGACAUUUUUUUUUAAAAAUGUACAUGUAGUUGAACUUAAGUCAUUUUAAAGCAUUUCUUGAAUAGAUGGUAACUAUUUUGUGUAAUCAAAUCCUCAUGCACCUCUAACUUGACAUUCCUUAAACUUUGUACAGUUGUUAUGAACACAUUGCAGAUGUGCAUGCGUCUUUUUGAAAAUGAUUAGACUUUUUUUUUUUUUAAAUUACGUGUAGUUGAACUUAUUUUUUAUGCAUUUCUUGAAUAGAUGGUACCUAUUUUGUGUGAUCAACUCGUGCACAUCUAAAUUGAUAUUCCUCAAACUUUGUACAGUAGUUAUGGACACAUUGAAGAUAUGCAUGUGUCUUUUUGAAAGUGAUCAGACUUUUUUCAAAAAAAUUACAUUUAGUUGAACUUUGUCAUUUUUUUAAAGCAUUUCCUGAAUAGUUGGUACCUAUUUUUUGUAAUCAACUCCUCUUACAGCAUUUAUUUGACAUCCUUCAGACCUUGAACAGCUGUUAUGGAAGCAUUGUAAAUGUGCAUGUGUCUUUUCGGAAGUGAUCAGGCAUUCUUUGAAAAAUUUACAUGUGCAUGGUGAAGUUGAACUUAGUCAUUUUUUAAGCAUGGUACUUUAUGUAACCAACUCAGCUUUUACUUCACAUUUUCCAAACCCUGUACAUUAUAGAUGUUAUAAAAACAUUGAAGAUACACAUGUAACAUUUUAAAAAUGCUUCUCUUUUUUUUUCUUUUUUUGUUGAAAAAUUCUACCUUUAAUUUGUCAUUUUUCCAGUAUGUUUCUACUGUUGUUCCUAUGAUAGAUAACAUAUUUUACAAGAACCUGGUCAUUUCUGUUUUUGAAUCUCUUUUUUUUAAUUAGUAUUUUUGAAUAUGUUAAUUACUUGAUAUGUCAUUGUUCUUGAAAUUAUAUUAAUUGAAUUAUUA